AGCAGCUCCACCUGCCUGAGGUUUGAAAAGAGACUUGGGCAGAAGGAAAGCAGCUUGGGGCUGGUGGUUGCAGCUCCAGAUGCUCUGUGCCCUAGGGAAAAUAAGCUUUGCACUUGUACCUCUCAACUUCCAGGAGCAUCCCUGGCCUGAGGUUUAUUCCUGCUGCUGAUCCACAGCAGCUUUUUAAACUCGAGUUUAGAGGAUAAGAGGAAGAGAAUCAGAUGAAUGAAAGCAAAGAUGCUGUUGCUUUGCCCGGUGGGUCUUCUCCCAUCACUUCUUGGCUGCAUGAGGCACUGGAGGAAGCUGAGGGUGCGUGGUGUGACAGGUCGUCUGUCUGUCUGCUGUGGUGAGGAUGUCUUGUAACCAGGUUUUGGGCUGUGGGAGCCCUCUGCUGAGCCUGUUCCAUCUGAAAGCAGCAGCUCUGAGUGCUUCUGCAUCAGAGAAGCAAUGGGCUGCUGUGAAGAUGAACCAUCUUGGGCUGAGCUGCUGUAUUUCCAUCCCCCAGAGAGGGGCACUGUUGGAUUUCGUUCUGGGUGGCCACCGAUUGCUUUCCCACCUCCCUUUUCACCACCACAGUCUUUGAUUUUCCAGCUGGGUCUCCUGAUUUUCUGAAAAGACAC
rnacentral:lncRNA from 1 species